rnacentral:tRNA from 1 species
UCUAAUAUGGCAGAUAAGUGCAAUGGAUUUAAGCUCCAUACAUAGAGACCAGUCCUCUUAUUAGAA